UACGUAGGUGGCAAGCGUUGUCCGGAUUUACUGGGCGUAAAGAGCGCGCAGGCGGUCGUCCAAGUCGCGUGUGAAAGCCCCCCGGCUCAACUGGGGAGGGUCACGCGAUACUGGUCGACUCGAAGGCAGGAGAGGGUAGUGGAAUUCCCGGUGUAGUGGUGAAAUGCGUAGAUAUCGGGAGGAACACCAGUGGCGAAGGCGACUACCUGGCCUGUUCUUGACGCUGAGGCGCGAAAGCUAGGGGAGCAAACGGG
rnacentral:rRNA from 1 species